ACAUUUGUAUUCUCUAUUUUCCCCACAGACACAAAGGGACCUUCAGAGGGAGAGGCAGAGCCUAGAGGCUAUCAAGGAGGACCUGUCUGCUAAUGAUGAGACUGUGUGGCAGUGGGUCACAGAUGUACAAGAUUGGGCUGAACAUGAUUCACCAGCUGGCAGCAGUGAUUCUCUCCUGGAAGUGAGGAGAAGAAUUGAGGAGAAUUCACUGGGCCUGAGACAGCGUAGAGCCCGUCUCUACAGUCAUACAGACACCAACUCAGGACGCUCUGUGAUUCGCAGCCGCAUGUGGAGGGAAAGGAACCAGCUUGAGGUCCAUGUGGCUCAGCAUGACUAGAUGGUCCAGCC